rnacentral:rRNA from 1 species
AGCGUAGGCGGAGAAAUAAGUUAGGAGUUUAAUGUACGGGCUUAACCCGUAAUCUGCUCCUAAUACUGUUUUUCUUGAGUAUGGGAGAGGGAGAUGGAAUUCCAGGUGUAGCGGUGGAAUGCGUAGAUAUCUGGAAGAACACCAGCUGCGAAGGCGGUCUCCUGGCCCAAUACUGACGCUGAGGCUCGAAAGCUAGGGGAGCAAACAGGAUUAGAUACCCUGGUAGUCCUAGCUGUAAACGAUGGACACUAGAUGCCGGAGGAGUCAAUCCUUUCGGUGUCGUAGCUAACGCGUUAAGUGUCCCGCCUGGGGAGUACGCUCGCGAAGGGUGAA